rnacentral:lncRNA from 10 species
AACCCAAAGGGGAAUAGACACAGGACUGUCUCUUCAGGAGCCUGCCUUUACCCUUGGAGGGAGCAGAUGGGAGACACAUCGGUGCUAUAAGUGCUGGAAGGGCCUCUAAGCAUGUCUGUGCUGGAUGCGCAAAGAGUUCUCCUUGUGGCCACUUGAGGAUGGAUCAGAAGGGGCAUAACAGAAGGCUAGCGAUCAGUUAGAAGAUGAUUGAAACUGCCAAGCAAAGAGUCUGUGGUCACAACAGAGGAAUUGUCCCCCUUUGUUUUGUGGAAAGCUGAGUGGAGAAUAUUCCGGGUGACCAAUGUUUCACCUCAGUCCCGAUGUCCUCCCAGCUCAAUUUGGGAGAUAGGAGUCCCCUCAAAAUCAUAAACUAGCGAAUCUGGGCAUCCCACCUAGUAGGAAGAAUCUCAUUUCAUCUCCGGUAGGUCCUGGAGCUUGUUAUGUAAACAUUGUGUGUUCACCAGACCCAGGAUCUCCAGCUCCUAGGAGUCACAUGUCCAAGAACCACCUCACUCACACCAGGUAAGGGGAGAAGAUUCAAGUUUUGCCACCAUGAACGUCAGGUCAGAUGUUCAACUGAAUCCCUAGUUGCCUAUUGUCCUUAAAUACCAAAGUAGUCAGCAGUUGGGAGGCUAAGAAGGCAGGAAUAGCAUAUGAACAUUGAUAAAAAUGCCAUGGGUUUCUGUUCAGUUUCCCCAGCUGUUUGCAGCUGCAGAAGUGGGGUAUGGGAACAUUGACACAUCCUUGCUCUGAGUAUAAUUAAUGACAAUGUGCCCAGUGUGCCACUGACUCAGAGGGAGCACCUGACAGGGAUUCUGCUGGAGGCUUCUAUGUUCUGAGGGUGUGGAUGUGCCCACAUGAACCACCCUGGGGCUUUUGAACAUCACCCUUCUGUUCCCGGCUGAGUCAGAAGUGGAUCCCGGAGUCAGAAGCCCUGAUUCAAGGUCUAGACUUGCCAGUCAGCUAAAGACAGGUUUCUUUAUAAUACUUACUCCACAGACUCAGAGCCCUUACUACAGGCCAGGCCCUGUCCUAACUCCCUAGAUAUAUUCAUUUAAUUCUCACAACAACUCAUAAAGCCAACUCUAUUAUUAACUGUACUUUAUAGAGAGGACACUAAAGCAUGGAGGUCAAGCCACUUCUCCAUGCUUACGCAGCUGCCAGUAUUCAAACCCAGCCCCCUGGCUCCAACACCUGCACACUAUGUGCCACUGAGAAAUGCAUAGUGCAGGCCAAAGCCCUGUGACACCCUCUAUCGCCACUUCAGCAAGGGAAGCAUCUAUUGUCAGUGCUGUGAUCACUAUGAUGAUGGAGAUCCUGUGAGGAGAACAUGAGCUUCUUUGGGAAGGGGCUGGUAGAAUUACCCUAAACACACACCAAGUUCCACACCUUUUAUUAUGACCCCAAACGGGGAGGUUGUGGGUAAAAGAAAG